UACGGGGGGGCAAGCGUUGUUCGGAAUCACUGGGCGUAAAGGGUGCGUAGGCGGGUCUUUAAGUCAGGGGUGAAAUCCUGGAGCUCAACUCCAGAACUGCCUUUGAUACUGAAGAUCUUGAGUUCGGGAGAGGUGAGUGGAACUGCGAGUGUAGAGGUGAAAUUCGUAGAUAUUCGCAAGAACACCAGUGGCGAAGGCGGCUCACUGGCCCGGUACUGACGCUGAGGUGCGAAAGCGUGGGGAGCAAACAGG
rnacentral:rRNA from 1 species